rnacentral:rRNA from 1 species
UACGGAGGGAGCAAGCGUUACUCGGAAUUACUGGGCGUAAAGGGCGCGUAGGCGGUCCUGUAAGUCCCGUGUGAAAGCCCCGGGCCUAACCCGGGAAGUGCACGGGAUUCUGCGGGACUUGAGUGCAGGAGAGGAGGGCAGAAUUCCCGGUGUAGCGGUGAAAUGCGUAGAUAUCGGGAGGAAUACCAGCGGCGAAGGCGGCCUUCUGGACUGCAACUGACGCUGAUGCGCGAAAGCCAGGGGAG